rnacentral:rRNA from 1 species
CAGAGGUCCCGAGCGUUGUUCGGAUUCACUGGGCGUAAAGGGUGCGUAGGUGGUGAGGUAAGUCGGAUGUGAAAUCUCCGGGCUCAACCCGGAAAUGGCAUUGGAAACUACCUUGCUGGAGGAUUUGAGGGGGGAUUGGAAUACUUGGUGUAGCAGUGAAAUGCGUAGAUAUCAAGUGGAACACCAGUGGCGAAGGCGAAUCCCUGGAAAAUGCCUGACACUGAGGCACGAAAGCUAGGGGAGCAAACAGGAUUAGAUACCCUGGUAGUCCUAGCCCUAAACGGUGCUUGCUUGCUGUAAGAGGAAUCGACCCCUCUUGUGGCGGAGCUAACGCGUUAAGCAAGCCGCCUGGGAAGUACAGUCGCAAGAUUA